UCCUGUGAAACAAAGGGUGUCUCUGUGGGAACCAGCUGCUCUGAAGCUUUUGUUGCCGCAAACAAUUCUUCACUGACACCAGCUAUUAAAAUGUCUCAUCGCACUCCUGAGUUCUGAAGGGGCUCUUGGUGUUUAGAUUUUAAUAAUUGUUAGUAACAGGCCUACUUUGUAUAAUUGUUCAAAUUAGGACAUUUCUUACUUCAACAGACAGCAAACAUCAAAUAAAAAUUUAUAUCUUCUGACCGUUUUAACACUUUAUUAUAAUUAGAGUAGUGAGUGUGGUGAGCAGAUGUGCAGACAUCAGUGUGCACUCAUCGCACUUUGAAGCUGUUUUGACAGCAACAUUGUGUUAACAAAGACUACAGUCUGCAGUGUAGAGCACACUUUACUCUGGUAAAUGAAGUUACAAUAGAACAGGUGAACUGUUUCAUCUUUCUCCUCUGUGCGUAAUGACACACUCGCUCAAUCUCGCUCGUCCGUCCGCUAUGAGCUAUUUCUCCCUUUAAGGUUGUUCUGUUUUGUAGUUAUUAAAAGAAUAAUCAUCUAAAAUUCCAAAAUAUAGGAAAACAUC